AGAGUUUGAUCAUGGCUCAGAAUGAACGCUGGCGGCGUGCCUAACACAUGCAAGUCGAGCGCGAAAGUGUCCUUCGGGACACGAGUAAAGCGGCGCACGGGUGAGUAACGCGUAGGUAACCUGCCCCUAAGUCCGGGAUAACCCUGCGAAAGCGGGGCUAAUACCGGAUACAGCCUCUAAAGCUGUGGCUUUAGAGGUGAAAGGUGACCUCUCCAUGGAAGUUGCCGCUUAGGGAGGGGCCUGCGUCCUAUCAGCUAGUUGGUGGGGUAAUGGCCCACCAAGGCUAUGACGGGUAGCUGGUCUGAGAGGACGGCCAGCCACACUGGCACUGAAACACGGGCCAGACUCCUACGGGAGGCAGCAGUGGGGAAUCUUGGGCAAUGGGCGAAAGCCUGACCCAGCGACGCCGCGUGGGUGAAGAAGGCCUUCGGGUCGUAAAGCCCUGUCAGGUGGGAAGAAAGGCUUGGGGUUAAGAGCCUCAAGCUCUGACGGUACCACCAGAGGAAGCCACGGCUAACUCCGUGCCAGCAGCCGCGGUAAUACGGAGGUGGCAAGCGUUACUCGGAAUCACUGGGCGUAAAGCGCAUGCAGGCGGCUUCGUAAGUCGGAUGUGAAAUCUCCCGGCUCAACUGGGAGGGGUCAUUCGAUACUGCGAGGCUUGAGGGCAGGAGAGGGGAGUGGAAUUCCCGGUGUAGUGGUGAAAUGCGUAGAUAUCGGGAGGAACACCAGUGGCGAAGCGGCUCCCUGGCCUGCACCUGACGCUAAGAUGCGAAAGCGUGGGGAGCGAACGGGGAUUAGA
rnacentral:rRNA from 1 species